GCUUUGGGUGCUGACGGUGGGGG
rnacentral:piRNA from 1 species